rnacentral:rRNA from 1 species
UACGGAGGGGGCUAGCGUUGUUCGGAAUUACUGGGCGUAAAGCGCACGUAGGCGGCUUUGUAAGUUAGAGGUGAAAGCCCGGAGCUCAACUCCGGAAUUGCCUUUAAGACUGCAUCGCUCGAAUCAUGGAGAGGUGAGUGGAAUUCCGAGUGUAGAGGUGAAAUUCGUAGAUAUUCGGACGAACACCAGUGGCGAAGGCGACUCACUGGACAUGUAUUGACGCUGAGGUGCGAAAGCGUGGGGAGCAAACAGG